rnacentral:rRNA from 1 species
GACGUAGGGUGCAAGCGUUGUCCGGAUUUAUUGGGCGUAAAGAGCUCGUAGGCGGCUUGUUGCGUCGACUGUGAAAACCCGCGGCUUAACCGCGGGCUUGCAGUUGAUACGGGCAGGCUAGAGUUCGGUAGGGGAGACUGGAAUUCCUGGUGUAGCGGUGAAAUGCGCAGAUAUCAGGAGGAACACCGGUGGCGAAGGCGGGUCUCUGGGCCGAUACUGACGCUGAGGCGCGAAAGCUAGGGGAGCGAACAGG